rnacentral:misc_RNA from 1 species
GUGAAUCAUCGAAUUUUUGAACGCAAAUUGCACUCUCUGGUAUUCCGGAGAGUAUGCCUGUUUGAGGGUCGGUUUAAAUAAAAAUCGGUGUGGUUGCUGCCUUUCGGGGUGACGCACCGGAUUUGGUUCGUCUUGCCUUCGGUUAAGUGACGUAAAAUUAUGCAUGAUUUUUUUCGCACGUAUUUAAAUGAAUUUAAGUUCUUUUUUGAUACCUAAU